rnacentral:tRNA from 1 species
GGUGGGAUAGAGCAGUUGGCAGCUCGCUUGGCUCAUAACCAAGAAGUCGGAGGUUCAAAUCCUCCUCCCGCAACUCA